rnacentral:rRNA from 1 species
GGAGUUUGGUCCGUGUCUCAGUACCAAUGUGGGGGACCUUCCUCUCAGAACCCCUACUGAUCGAUGGCUCGGUGGGCCGUUACCCCGCCGACUACCUAAUCAGACGCAUCCCCAUCCCAUAGCGGUAAACCUUUGCUCCUCGUCAGAUGCCAUCAAAGGAGAACAUAGGGCAUUAAUCCGACUUUCGCCGGGCUAUUCCCUACUGUGGGCCAGGUUGGAUACGCGUUACUCACCCGUGCGCCGGUCGCCAGCAACAAUAGCAAGCUAUCGUCCUGCUGCCCCUCGACUUGCAUGUGUUAAGCCUGUAGCUAGCGUUCAUC